rnacentral:rRNA from 1 species
UACGUAGGGCGCAAGCGUUGUCCGGAAUUAUUGGGCGUAAAGAGCUCGUAGGCGGUUUGUCGCGUCUGCUGUGAAAACCUAAGGCUCAACCUUGGGCUUGCAGUGGGUACGGGCAGACUAGAGUGCGGUAGGGUGACUGGAAUUCCUGGUGUAGCGGUGGAAUGCGCAGAUAUCAGGAGGAACACCGAUGGCGAAGGCAGGUCACUGGGCCGCAACUGACGCUGGAGGAGCGAAAGCGUGGGAGCGAACAGG